rnacentral:rRNA from 1 species
ACUCAAAGGAAUUGACGGGGGCCCGCACAAGCGGUGGAGCAUGUGGUUUAAUUCGAAGCAACGCGAAGAACCUUACCAAGGCUUGACAUCUUUCUGUAAGCACUAGAGAUAGUGCCCCUCUUCGGAGCAGAGAUGACAGGUGGUGCAUGGUUGUCGUCAGCUCGUGUCGUGAGAUGUUGGGUUAAGUCCCGCAACGAGCGCAACCCUUAUUUUUAGUAGCCAGCAUGUAAUGAUGGGCACUCUAGAAAGACUGCCGUGGAUAACACGGAGGAAGGUGGGGAUGAGGUCAAAUCAUCAUGCCCUUUAUGCCUUGGGCAACACACGUGCUACAAUGGCUGUAACAAAGUGAUGCAAAGCGGUGACGCCUAGCAAAGCACAAAAAAGCAGUCUCAGUUCGGAUUGGAGUCUGCAACUCGACUCUAUGAAGUUGGAAUCGCUAGUAAUCGCGAAUCAGCAUGUCGCGGUGAAUACGUUCCCGGGCCUUGUACACACCGCCCGU